rnacentral:rRNA from 1 species
AUUGAACGCUGGCGGCAGGCCUAACACAUGCAAGUCGAGCGAGCGGCGGACGGGUGAGUAAUGUCUGGGAAACUGCCUGAUGGAGGGGGAUACCUCCUGGAAACGGUAGCUAAUACAGCAUACCAGCCGAUGUGCCCAGAUGGGAUUAGCUAGUAGGUGGGGUAACGGCUCACCUAGGCGACGAUCCCUAGCUGGUCUGAGAGGAUGACCAGCCACACUGGAACUGAGACACGGUCCAGACUCCGACGGGAGGCAGCAGUGGGGAAUAUUGCACAAUGGGCGCAAGCCUGAUGCAGCCCUGCCGCGUGUGUGACGAAGGCCUUCGGGUUGUAAAGCACUUUCAGCGGGGAGGCGUUACCCGCAGAAGAAGCACCGGCUAACUCCGUGCCAGCCGCCGCGGUAAUUC